rnacentral:rRNA from 1 species
UGGGGAAUUUUACGCAAUGGGGGAAACCCUGACGUAGCGACACCGCGUGAGCGAAGAAGCCCCUUGGGGUGUAAAGCUCUGUCAGCUGGAACGAAAAAAAUGACGGUACCAGCAGAGGAAGCAUCGGCUAACUACGUGCCAGCAGCCGCGGUAAGACGUAGGAUGCGAGCGUUGUCCGGAUUUAUUGGGCGUAAAGAGUUCGUAGGUGGUUUGUCAAGUCUGAUGUUAAAGAUCGGGGCUCAACCCUGGG